rnacentral:rRNA from 1 species
CCCUUAGAUGUUCUGGGCCGCGCGCGCGCUACACUGACUGGUGCAACAAGUGUCGCUCCUUGGCCGAUAGGCCUGGGCAAUCUUUGAACGCCAGUCGUGAUGGGGAUAGAUUCUUGCAAUUUUUGAUCUUCAACGAGGAAUUCCUAGUAAACGCGAGUCAUCAACUCGCAUUGAUUACGUCCCUGCCCUUUGUACACACCGCCCGUCGCACCUACCGAUUGAAUGGUCCGGUGAACCCUCCGGAUCGGCCCGCGCCAACGCAAGUUGAGCAAAGGCCGAGAAGUUGGGUAAACCUUACCAUUUAGAGGAAGGUGAAGUCGUAACA